rfam:Ovis aries breed Texel chromosome 14, whole genome shotgun sequence.
UCCCUUGUGGCUCAGCUGGGAAAGAAUCUGCCUGCAAUGCAGGAGACCAGGGUUCGAUCCCUGGGGAGGGAA